rnacentral:tRNA from 1 species
GGGCUCAUAGCUCAACUUGGUCAGAGCGCCUGACUCAUAAGGGGUCCCCCCUGAGACAUCAGGUAGUUGUCGGUUCGAAUCCGACCGGGCUCA